rnacentral:rRNA from 1 species
UACGGAGGGUGCGAGCGUUGUCCGGAAUCAUUGGGCGUAAAGGGCGCGUAGGUGGCCUGCUAAGCGUGCGGUGAAAGCUCGGGGCUCAACCCCGAGUCGGCCGUGCGAACUGGUGGGCUUGAGCACUGUAGGGGCAGGCGGAAUUCCGGGUGUAGCGGUGGAAUGCGUAGAUAUCGGGAGGAAUACCGGUGGCGAAAGCGACUCUCUGGACGGCAACUGACGCUGAGGCACGAAAGCGUGGGGAGCAAACAGG